UUGAAAGGGAAACGAUUGAAGUCAGUCGUACCUAUGGGUAAUCAGCCUUUUGGGUGUGAUUUUGUGGAGCGUGAGGAGUUAAACGCCUUCAUGCCUGCAUAUUCGUGCACUUUGGGUGUACUUGCCCGUGUGUAAGUUAACAUCAAUUUUGGUGGUCAUAAAAUGGCUGGAGGAAUGUAGCUUCGAUCUUGUAUUGAAGUGUUAUAGCCUUCGGUAGAUGUGACGAUCGGGAUUGAGGAUUGCAACGGAUACCCUUCGGGGCUACCUGUCUGAUCUCUGAUUGUUGCUCUGGUACUGAAAGCUUGCUUACGGUUAUCAAAGUCGAUGGUCAAUAGGUUAGAACGGGUUAAAUUCGUUAAGGAUGUUGACGUA
rnacentral:rRNA from 1 species